UCGGCACUGCCAGAUCUAACC
rnacentral:misc_RNA from 1 species